ACGGGGUGCAGCAGGCGCGAAACCUCCGCAAUGUGAGAAAUCGCGACGGGGGGAUCCCAAGUGCCAUUCUUAGCGGGAUGGCUUUUCAUUAGUGUAAAGAGCUUUUGGAAUAAGGGCUGGGCAAGACCGGGGCCAGCCGCCGCGGUAACACCGGCAGCCCUAGUGGUAGCAGUUUUUAUUGGGCCUAAAGCGUCCGUAGCCGGUUUAAUAAGUCUCUGGUGAAAUCCUGUAGCUUAACUGUGGGAAUUGCUGGAGAUACUAUUAGACUUGAGACUGGGAGAGGUUAGAGGUACUCCCAGGGUAGAGGUGAAAUUCUGUAAUCCUGGGAGGACCGCCUGUUGCGAAGGCGUCUAGCUGGAACGGUUCUGACGGUGAGGGACGAAAGUUAGGGGCGCGAACCGGAUUAGAUACCCGGGUAGUCCUUAACUGUAAACGAUGCGGACUUGGUGUUGGGGUGGCUUUGAGCUGUUCCAGUGCCGAAGGGAAGCUGUUUAAGUCCGCCGCCUGGGAAGUACGGUCGCAAGACUGAAACUUAAAGGAAUUGGCGGGGGGAGCAC
rnacentral:rRNA from 1 species